rnacentral:lncRNA from 1 species
CCAAUUAGGACUCUAGGAAUCCUACUCGAAGUAGGACUCUUGUUUCAAGUCCAAUUAAUUAAUUCCCUUUGUUCCUUCUUCAACUGAAUAUCAAUCGAAUUGAUUACUUGUGAUUCCUAAUCACUAUUCAACCAUCAGAUCGGUCAAUACUUCUAGUGUGUGUGACCCCAUAGGUUCUACUCUGACUGGUAGUGAGAUAUAUUGUGAUCUCUAUCACAAUUUCAUUGAAGACUCCUUUCAAUGGGUUGGAACGAUUCCAACUCAACUCAUUAGGGUUUAUCGAUCAUCAAG